ACACAUGUGGAAACUGCAGGUCAAAGGGUGAAGCAGUUGCGAAGGCCCCACAGCUUGCAAAUGGUGGAGCUGAGAUUGAAACCCAGGUGUGCUAGCAUCUAAAGUUCAUGCUCUUUCCACCACACUAGACUGUAUUCUGAGGGCACCAAGGAAGCUCCGUUUUUCUUAAAAACCAAAUUGCAGUCCUCCAGGGCCACAGCCCGGGAGCAUCUUCGUGGGAGAGCGGCUGCUGCUCAGAGUUGUGACUCCCAUCCUUAAGAGUCCUCUGUCCUCUCUGGCCCCCUUUCUACUGAUCAUUGCUGCCCCCUUCACAGGGGAGAGAGGCCAUGGCCUGUCCCCUAAAGAGUCUGCCAAGGUAGACUCAUGACCUUCCCAUGGCACAGCUCAGACAAGCUGGGCUAUUUACAUAAGACUUGACCCAGGGCUUGGGGACAGCAGGAGGAAUGAGGUGCAGAGGAGACUCCUGCUUCUGGGUGACAGUCUGCCUGGUUGACUGCAGCCGGGGUGCUUAUUGGCCUCUUGGGGCCCCCACAGGCCUGCCCUGCCUGACCUACUUUCGUGAGGCCGAGGCCAUCUCCUGCACUCUCUGGGGGCCUCUUCUGACUCCUCUAAACUCUUCCAUGUCUGGACUUCUGGCUUCUGCCCAAGGCCAUCUAUUGGAGUUUGGGUUUCCAGUUGAGGAUCUGCCUUUUUCCUGGAUGACCAAACCUAGAAUGAGACCGGCCUCAUGCUCCGUCCUCACAGGGCUGUGGCUUUAUCCGAGGGCCUCAGCAAGGCAACCAACACCAGACAUGAAGCUGAGCACACUCAGUUCAGCCUAGGAGACGAAGUGGGGGUGGAGGACGGUCCAUCUUCUUCCACAUCAAGAUGGGAAGUCUUGACUCAUUACCCACUGGAAACUUUUCCUGCUGGGCUCUGCACUGUCAACUGUGAGAGAGGGAAAUAAAACAUACUGUACAGUCCAA